CCCUGUGACAUCAUAGAUUUACCAAACUCUCCUGUGCAGCAGACUGCUUCCUCUUUUCUCGUAACCAUCACCGGUUACAUAGGGGGGACACGCCUGUGAAUGUCCUGAUCUCGCUGACCAAGUAAAGACUACAUCUUCAAAGAAACCUAAGAUCCAAGUUGAAACUGAGAGCCAGGCCUUCUUGCCCAACAUCAGUCUAUGAGCACAUAAAUGUGCUUCUGGAAAGAUGGUAAAAAAUUCCCAUGAAGAUGCUGUGAGACCUUGUGGACAGCAAUCCCAGAAGAGACUAAGCUGGUUUAGCUGUAAAGGGUGAACCAACGUCAUAUUAAACUUACUGAUUGAGAAUGGGUGUCACUUCAGCUCAUAUGGAAGUGUGAUGGCUGCAGUUACAGUCACACUCACACAUAAUAGGUCAUUUCUAUCCAACAUCACACUGCUACAGUAGAGAAUUACACACUUCACUACACUUAUAUUUUACUCUCUUUAAAUAUAGGACUUAAUUUACAGAUUAAUGAAGAACUGGUUUUGGUUUAGAAUUGAUUUAUUUACACAACAUGACACUGUAUUAUAAAAGGUGUGCACAUGUUAGUUUACCCUGUUAUGUGUGUACUUUUUCAUUUAAUCCUUUUUGUUUUCUGAGUUACUUUAGUAGCACCUGCUCCAUUCCUGUGACUGAACAAAGAGGUGGAAAGGAGCGGAGCAAACCGUUGUGGAGACCGGCAAACUGGUUCAAAUCACAACUCAGGACCAUGGGGGAGAAAUGGGACUUGCUUGUGUCAGCUGUGUGUCAGCUCCCUCACGAUCCUCUAUGGAAGAAGCGGGUAUAGAAAAUGGAUGUAUGGAAUCUCAAUGAGAUCUACCUGUUUCUAAGCUCCUUCGUGUAAGGUUAUGAUAUAAUAAUAAUAACAAGGCAGCACAAAUAAUAUGAUGGUUAACCAAUCAGAUAUUGUGGUAGUGGACAUAGCUGAAAAAAGCGCAUUAGUGAUAGAUGUAGAAGUCACCACUAGGAGCAUCAUCAAGAAGAUGUAGAAAUAGAAGUUUGAGAAAUAGCAUCCAAGGGCUCAAAGAGUAAAUAUAAACUUUGUGGAGACAUUUGGAGCCCUUAUGCCCCAAACUGGUGGUUUCAGGGAGAGUGCAGUGCUAUGAACAGUUACGUUUGUGAACCCUCAAGUUCCCAGGCCUCUGGUAAAGAACCUGAGCUUGAGGAACCUCUCAUGUGGAGAGGGUGGGUGGAAGGUUUAUAUGUUUCUCAUUGUGUUAACACAUACCUGUUAGCACCUUAUACAGCAACACACUAGUGAUAUCUGUUGUUUUCCUCUUGUUACAUUGUUUUCUUUCUUUUGUUGUAUCUUAUCAGGUGUUUUAAUUUAUUUUAGAUUUUAUGAACGUAGAUUUUGUUUUACAGAUUUUGGAAAUCUUUUAAAAAAUGUAUUGUAUACCCUGGUUUUCUUGCUCGGCUGUCUAAUAAAGUAUUUACAUAUUUAA